rnacentral:rRNA from 1 species
GGCGGCAGGCUUACACAUGCCAGUCGAUGCGGUAGCAGAGAAGCUUGCUUCUCUUGAAGAGCGGCGGACGGGUGAGUAAUGCCUAGGAAUCUGCCUGGUAGUGGGGGAUAACGUUCGGAAACGAACGCUAAUACCGCAUACGUCCUACGGGAGAAAGCAGGGGACCUUCGGGCCUUGACGCUCAUCAGAUGAGCCUAAGUCGGAUUAAGCUAGUUGGUGAGAGUAAUGGCUCACCAAGGCGACGAUCCGUAACUGGGUCUGACGAGGAUGAUCAGUCACACUGGAACUGAGACACGGUCCAGACUCCUACGGGAGGCAGGCAGUGCGGGAAUAUNGGACAAUGGGCGAAAG